UUUUCUAAUUUAGAUUUAGAUUAGGUAAAAAAAUAGGAGGUGGUGAAUAAAUUUAGAAUUUGAGGGUUCAGCGUCUUGAUUUUUAGUUUCUUCUAUAGUUCAUUAUCUUUCUCUGGUAAACUUUCAUCGGAGAUCCGACCAACCACCACCAAAAUGAUACCCCACUUGUCAACCUACCACUUUUCUCUUCUUCCAUCUCUAAUUGUCUGUUCUAUUUUUUAACAACACGAUCACGUCUGAAAGAAGUCGAGCAAAAUCCAGGCAGUCGGACUCCGGUGACCUCCAAACAGCCCAAACCAGACCUCCCUCUCUUCUCCAACCAAAAUCCCACAACCCCAUCUCUGGUGAACUUCCGAGAAACCACCCACACCACAAGAACCUCGCCAGAAAUAACCAAAACACACCCACCAGAGAACCCACAUGAAGACGUUCCUCCACCACCAGUCUUCAUCUCAUCCAAACAGCGACCAACGAACCAGACCCCAUUUUUUUUUCAAACCAAAAUCGAGUCCUCCCAUCUUUUCCGGCAAAACCCCGACCCAUUUUCCCCUUUUUCGUUCCCAACAAGGCAACAAAAAAUCAGCCCCUUCCCCUUUCCCUCUAUUCGAGUUUAUAUGUGUUUUUGUAGGUCAUUUGUGAGCUCAAAGCUCCAUUAAACAAUGAGGUCGAAGCUCUAAAAGUUUUCUCCGGUAUGGCUCCAUCACAGGUAAACCACGACCAAUUAACCAGACCUUGCACCAGCGAGCUCGAAGCUCCACACUCAAACUCUAGCGAAGCUCAAAGGUUCAGCCAUUCCGAUCAACUCCACGUUGUUGAAACCUCACUAUAUGCAUUCCUCAAAUGUAUACGUACAUCCUGGUCCAGUAGAGCAUGAUGUAUUAAAAAUUCAAGUUCGUCAUCGUUCCGAAGGAAUUUGGAAUGGUAGUAUAAAAGAAAUUUGGGCUUGGAAAAGAAUUAUUCCCUUGCAAUCAUUGCCAAAGCCUCUAAGGACCAAUCAAUUUGAGGAUUCAACUGCGCUUGCACAUAAAUGGACGUGACAUAGAAAUCAUCAAAAUGAGGCGUAAACUAUAAUCGGUGUGAUUAGGGAUGUACUAAAUAAUCUAACUGAUGAACAUGUAUUUAAUAUUAUUAGUAUUUUAAACUAUUCAUAUUUUAUUUCAUUUUAAAUAAAAAUAUGUUUGGUAGAUCUUUAAAUGAGGCACUUAUGUUUCACAAUCCAAGAAAAUUAUGUAAUAAAAUGACAUAUACAUAGAUUCUUGUUAGGUCCUUAAAAGUAAAAUAUCUUAUGACAGUACAAAAAAAUUAUUUUUUAAGAUUGUUCAUUUUCACGUACAUUUUUUUUAUUUUUCUACCAAUUUUAUUUUUAUAAUUAUCUUACUUAAUUAUUUUUUUAUAGUUUAUUUGGCAACCUUAUUCGGAAGAUGUUAUUAAUGGAUUGCCUGAGUGGUGUCGGUCGGAACAACGUGUUUGGAUGGUACAAGUGUCACUUAUUUAUGAAAUUUAUCGUGAGUGGCACAUGAUUGAUCGUGUUGUGAGACGGUUCGGUUAUUUACAACAUAUUCCUAGACCGUGUACUCAAUUUUUUGAAUAUCAUUUUAAGCGUGAUAAAAGAUCCAAAAUAAAACAAGAAGAUAUAGAUGCAUUUAACUACAACGUCAAAAUCGUAUAUUUCGAGAUCCAUUUGUAAGUGAUCAAACAGAUUACUUUCGUUGGUACAUGAGGCAUACCCGCAUGUUCAUUGGAAAUCCACAACAUGUUGUACAAAAAGGGUAUCAACACAUGGAAGAAAGGCAUGAGGCAUUAGUAUGUAUAUUAUGUAAAUUUUAAAUUAUUAUGUCAAUUUUAAUAAUAUUUUUGUUAUUAAUAUUUAUUUAUUCAUUAUAGGCCAGGGGUCAUGAAAUGCAGUAUCGUCGAGCUUGAAUAAUUGAAAAUGAUGAAAAUCAAUCUAAUGAAAUGAGACAAUAUGCAGAGGAAGCCGCUCGUAUUUCAAUGGAGUCAAUGAAUGCGGCCUUCCAAGAAACGCGAUUGAGCUUUGAUCCUGAUUAUAAUCCUCCUACUCAAUACAUCGAACCACCUCCAGUACAAGUAUCUGACCCAUCAAGACAAACAACACCGAGAGAGGGUGCACGUCGAGGUAGAACGAGCGCUGGUGAAACGAAUUUUGAAAUGUGUAAAGUUUGUUGUUUCGUGCAAGUUUGAAAAAAGUAAUGAGAUUCUUACGCAAUGAGAUUCUUAAGCAGUGAAAGUUUGCAGUAUUUAUAUUUUCUUUAUGGCAUAAGUCAAAUCAAUACUUUUUAUGUUAGGUCAAAUCAUUACUUUUUAAUAGAGUUCAAAUCAAUAAUAUAAUAAUAAUAUAAAAAUAUUAUACUUACAAUAUUUAAAAUGCAGCAAGACAUAUUAAAUUCAUGUCAACAAAUAAAUAUAAAAGAUAUAUCAUAAUAUUAAUAACAAGACAAUAAAAAUACAUUAACCUUAAAAACAUAGACAAAAUAUUUAAAAUUGAGUAGGACAUCGUGCCUUGGUGUGACCUGUCUCCUUACAAACACUACAUUUUCUAGUCAUGCGAGCCGGAGCUAUAUCCUUAUCAUUCUCAAGAUGGCUUCUUACUUGCGUACUACUUGUCUGCAAAUAUUCAGUAUUUGCAAUUAAAUUAAAAGGAGCUGGUGGCCAAUACAUUUCAUCACCCACUGGUUAAAUAUCUCAGUGUAUGUUCCUUUGUAAUAUUUUAUACUAUAGAAUUUACUUACAUAAAAUUUUGGCUCGAUUCCGCGAAGUCCACAAAAUUUGAUGGCAUGCGAACAAGGCAUAUGAUAAUUUCUUCAUUUUCCACAAGAACAUUUCUUACCUUUUGCAGUAACCUUGUGGACAUUCCACCUUUACCAUCAUGAGCAAAAGUAUAAAUUUCAAAAACUCCAUCACCUGUGUUGUAAGUCAUCAUAUCUGUGUGCCCUUGAGCUCUUUGACAAUAAUCAUUAAAAAAUUUUAUCUAUCGCAAGAGGCCAUGAAGUAUUACUUUGAAUUAAUGCAAUUGCAAGAUUGUUUCUUUCGACAAAACGAUCAACGAGAGUUUUGAACGUCAUUUGAACCAUGGCAGUCACAGGAAAUCCCCAAACUUUUUUCAAUAAAUCAUUAUAUGACUCAGACACAUUUGUCGUCAUGGCACCCCAUCUACGACCGCCAUCCUUAUACAUUGUCCAUUUUUUCAAAGGAAAUUCAUUUAACCAUUCAUAUUCUGCAGGAGACAAUGUUUUGAUUUGUUGCAUCUGUUGCACAAACUUUUUCUCCUGAUGCUCAGUAGUAGCCAACCACAUUAAUUUUUCGAGUUAACUAUUUAUAAUGUUUUUAUUAAACUUUGUUUUUAAGUGUCAAACACAAAAUCUAUUAUAUAUGUUGGGUGGACUCAACCAAUCAUAAAAUUGAACGCACUGCAAGAUUUCUUGAUGACGGUCAGAAAUAAGACCAAUUCCUUGUUGUUCACAAACUACAUCUGUCCAUAAUAACUGGAGAAAUCAUGACCAAGACUCAAAACUCUCACAUGCAACUAAAGCAUAUGCAUGUGGAAAAACAUUUCCAUUCGCAUCAAUUUCAAACGCAAUUAACAGUUUAAUGUCAUACAAACCAUAAAGAUAUGUGCCGUCGAUAGAUAUGACCGGCCUACAACUUUUGAAACCAUCAGUGCUCUGUUUAAAAGCCCAAAAAAGAAAUUUAAAAAUUUACUCACCUUGCAUUGUUGUAGAAUGAUGCUUCCACUCAAUAAUAGUGCCUGGAUUGAAUAAUUGUAGUGCAACCAUGUAUCGAGGUAAUGCCUUACAUGAACUUUCAAAAUCACCAUAAACCAUUCAAAAUGCUUUUAUUUGACCUUUUUGUGCUUUUCUAUAAUUAGGAGUAUAGUGAUGCUUUCCUUUGAUAAUUUCACGGAUCAUCUUAAUAUUUAUGUCUGGAUUUUACAUAACAUAUGAUAUUAAUGAAGUGACUAUCAAGUUAUCAUUCAAAUUGAAAUGAUCCUCCUUAUAGUUAUCUGUAAGUUAAGUAUGUGGUUUAACCAUUUUUUUUGUCUUCCACAUACCGCUUGAAAUCUCUCUAAACCGAAUCAUCCAAUCACACCCUAACUCAUGACGCUUGCAAAUAACUUUUCAACUUUUACUCUUGGAUUGAUCAUAAAGAAAUUCUUUUUUAAUAGCAAGACUAUAUGCUCUUACUGCAGAUUUCAUUUGCAUCUUAUUCAUAAAUAACAUACCUAGUUGCAUAUACAAAUUAAA